rnacentral:tRNA from 1 species
GUCUCUGUAGUGCAAUCGGUCAGCGCUUUCGGUUGUGAACCGAAAGGAUGGUGGUUCGGUCCCAGCCAGGAAUG